ACAAAACAACUCUUUGGAGACAAUGAUGUCUUUUUCUUUCAGGCAUGUACCAGAUGUCUGUUUCAGAAGCAGCUGUCCCUGGGGGAGGAAGUAGGAAGGGUGAAGGCUGAAGACCCAGACAUUGGAGAAAAUGGCUUAGUCACAUACAAUAUCGUUGAUGGAGCUGGCAUAGAACUGUUUGAAAUCACAACAGACUAUGAAACACUAUGUUGCUGCUGCUGCUGCUGCCGCCGCUGCUG
rnacentral:lncRNA from 1 species